GUGGGGAAUCUUAGACAAUGGGCGCAAGCCUGAUCUAGCCAUGCCGCGUGAGCGAUGAAGGCCUUAGGGUUGUAAAGCUCUUUCGUGGGGGAAGAUAAUGACUGUACCCCAAGAAGAAGCCCCGGCUAACUCCGUGCCAGCAGCCGCGGUAAUACGGAGGGGGCUAGCGUUGUUCGGAAUUACUGGGCGUAAAGCGCACGUAGGCGGACUGGAAAGUCAGGGGUGAAAUCCCGGGGCUCAACCCCGGAACUGCCUUUGAAACUCCCAGUCUUGAGUUCGAGAGAGGUGAGUGGAAUUCCGAGUGUAGAGGUGAAAUUCGUAGAUAUUCGGAGGAACACCAGGGGCGAAGGCGGCUCACUGGCUCGAUACUGACGCUGAGGUGCGAAAGCGUGGGGAGCAAACAGGAUUAGAAACCCGUGUAGUCC
rnacentral:rRNA from 1 species